rnacentral:rRNA from 1 species
ACCAGACUCCUACGGGAGGCAGCAGUGAGGAAUAUUGGUCAAUGGGCGGGAGCCUGAACCAGCCAAGUCGCGUGAGGGAAGACGGUCCUACGGAUUGUAAACCUCUUUUGCCGGGGAGCAACGGGGUCCUUGCGAGGGCCCAAUGAGAGUACCCGGAGAAAAAGCAUCGGCUAACUCCGUGCCAGCAGCCGCGGUAAUACGGAGGAUGCGAGCGUUAUCCGGAUUUAUUGGGUUUAAAGGGUGUGUAGGUGGUUAAUUAAGUCAGCGGUGAAAGUUUGUGGCUCAACCAUAAAAUUGCCGUUGAAACUGGUUGACUUGAGUAUAGGUGAGGUAGGCGGAAUGCGUGGUGUAGCGGUGAAAUGCAUAGAUAUCGCGCAGAACUCCGAUUGCGAAGGCAGCAUGCCGGCUCCACACUGACGCUGAGGCACGAAAGCGUGGGUAUCGAACAGGAUUAGAUACCCUAGUA